UCAGACGAUGCGUCAUGCAUAUCAAUAAGCGGAGGAAAAGAAACUAACAAGGAUUCCCCUAGUAACGGCGAGUGAAGCGGGAAGAGCUCAAAUUUGAAAUCUUAAAGGGUUUCCCUUUACGAAUUGUAGUUUAAAGAAGUGUUUUCUGUUGAGGUUUUGGUAAAAGUUCUUUGGAAUAGGACAUCAUAGAGGGUGAGAAUCCCGUAUUUGACCUUUACUUUCAACUUUGUGAUACACCUUUCAAAGAGUCGGAUUGUUUGGGAAUGCAGUCCAAAAUGGGUGGUAAAUUUCAUCUAAAGCUAAAUAUUGGCGAGAGACCGAUAGCGAACAAGUACCGUGAGGGAAAGAUGAAAAGAACUUUGAAAAGAGAGUUAAACAGUACGUGAAAUUGUCAAAAGGGAAGCGUUUGACACCAGUGUUGUUUUUCUGAAAAUCAAUUAAAGAACUGUUUAUGCUAAGCUGUUUAGACUUUAUCAGCUAUCUGUUUAGUUUUGAGCUUUUCUUUAAUGCACUUUUCAGUUAACAAGUCAACAUCAAUUUCUUUUGCUGUAAAAAAGCUUGAGGAAGGUGGCUUGAGAUUCGUCUUAAGUGUUUAUAGCCUCUUGCCUAUGCAGUCGGAGAGAUUGAGGUCUGCAGCGUAGAUCCUUCGGGGCUAAAUGCAUUUGUGCUAAGUUAUAGCAUUUUAUAGACAACUUGUUGACUAUGAUUUGUCUUGUAGCUUACUCGCUUAUGUUAUUUUACCUACGCUUAGGAUGUUGACACACGCGCGUGCUCG
rnacentral:rRNA from 1 species